GAGUGGCGUAAGGGUGAGUAAGGCGAAGGUAACCAACCCCGUGAUUGGGCAUAGCCGAGGGAAACUUCGGGUAAUUCCCAGCGACGUCUUUUUGUGGCAUCACGAGAAGACCAAAGCUUUGGCGUCGUGGGACGGACCAUCGUGGUAUUAGGUAGUUGGCGGGGUAAUGGCCCACCAAGCCGAUGAUGCCUACCGGGCGUGCGAGCGUGGCCCGGCACACUGGGACUGAGACACUGCCCAGACACCUACGGGUGGCUGCAGUCGAGAAUCUUCGGCAAUGGGCGCAAGCCUGACCGAGCGACGCCGCGUGGAGGAUGAAGGCCUUCGGGUUGUAAACUCCUGUCGAGGGGGAGGAAGGGUAACUUGACCGAUCCCUGGAGGAAGCACGGGCUAAGUUCGUGCCAGCA
rnacentral:rRNA from 1 species